rnacentral:rRNA from 1 species
UUGAGAGUUUGAUCCUGGCUCAGGAUGAACGCUGGCGGCGUGUCUAAGGCAUGCAAGUCGAGUGGGUUUAGACCCACGGCAAACGGGUGAGUAACACAUUGGUAACCUGCCCCGAAGUUCAGAAUAACCCCGCGAAAGCGGGGCUAAUACUGGAUGCGCUCCGAUGACAAAUGUCAUUUGAGCAAAGAUUUAUCGCUUCGGGAGGGGCCUAUGGCCUAUCAGCUAGUUGGUGAGGUAACGGCCCACCAAGGCUUUGACGGGUAGCGGGCGUGAGAGCGCGACCCGCCUCACUGGGACUGAGACACUGCCCAGACUCCUACGGGAGGCUGCAGUCAAGAAUAUUCCCCAAUGGCCGAAAGGCUGAGGGAGCGACGCCGCGUGACUGAAGAAGCCCUUCGGGGUGUAAAGGUCUUUUAUUAGGGACGAACUAAUGACGGUACCUAAUGAAUAAGGGGCUGCUAACUUCGUGCCAGCAGCAGCGGUAAUACGAAGGCCCCAAGCGUUAUCCGGAUUUAUUGGGCGUAAAGAGUCUGUAGGCGGCCUGAAUAGUUUUUCGUCAAAUCCCGAGGCUCAACCUUAGGACCGCGAAAAAUACUUUCAGGCUAGAGGCUGGGAGAGGCAGAUGGAAUUGCCGGUGUAGCGGUAAAAUGCGUUAAUAUCGGCAAGAACACCAAAUGCGAAGGCUUUCUGCUGGAACAGUUCUGACGCUGAGAGACGAAAGCGCGGGGAGUGAAUGGGAUUAGAUACCCCAGUAAUCCGCGCCGUAAACGAUGGAUACUUGGCAUUGGAAGUAUCGACCCUUUCAGUGCCGCUUAAUCAAGUUAACACCUUAAGUAUCCCGCCUGGGUAGUACGGCCGCAAGGCUAAAACUCAAAGGAAUUGACGGGGACCCGCACAAGCGGUGGAGCAUGUGGUUUAAUUCGACAAUAAGCGAGGAACCUUACCAGGGUUUGACAUGAUGCUGCAAAUCCCGGGAAACCGGGACUCCUUCGAGGGUGCAUCACAGGUGCUGCAUGGUUGUCGUCAGCUCGUGUCGUGAGAUGUACCGUUAAGUCGGGCAACGAGCGCAACCCCUAUUCUGUGUUAAAUCACUCACAGAAAACUGCCCCCCACUUAGCACAUUUCGUUAACUGUUAACUGUAAAAUGUUAAUUGUUAACACGAAGUGUUCUGAGUGGGGGGAGGAAGGCGGGGAUGACGUCAAAUCAGCAUGGCUCUUACAUCCUGGGCGACACACGUGCUACAAUGGCCAACACAAAGGGUCGCUAAGCCGCAAGGCGGAGCUAAUCCCAUCAAAAUUGGCCCCAGUUCGGAUUGAGGUCUGCAACUCGACCUCAUGAAGCCGGAAUCGCUAGUAAACGCGUAUCAGCCAUGGCGCGUUGAAUACGUUCUCGGGUCUUGUACACACCGCCCGUCAAGUCAAUAAAGUCUUCAGUACCCAAAUGCCGGCGCAGGCCGGCAAAAGGUAAGGGAGAUGAUAGGGACUAAGUCGUAACAAGGCAUCCGUAGCGGAAGCUGUGGAUGGAUCACCUCCUUUCU